rnacentral:rRNA from 1 species
CCUACGGGGGGCUGCAGUGAGGAAUAUUGGUCAAUGGACGAGAGUCUGAACCAGCCAAGUAGCGUGAAGGAUGACUGCCCUAUGGGUUGUAAACUUCUUUUAUAUGGGAAUAAAAUGUUCCACGUGUGGGAUUUUGUAUGUACCAUAUGAAUAAGGAUCGGCUAACUCCGUGCCAGCAGCCGCGGUAAUACGGAGGCUCCGAGCGUUAUCCGGAUUUAUUGGGUUUAAAGGGAGCGUAGGUGGAUUGUUAAGUCAGUUGUGAAAGUUUGCGGCUCAACCGUAAAAUUGCAGUUGAAACUGGCAGUCUUGAGUACAGUAGAGGUGGGUGGAAUUCGUGGUGUAGCGGUGAAAUGCUUAGAUAUCACGAAGAACUCCGAUUGCGAAGGCAGUUCACUGGACUGCAACUGACACUGAGGCUCGAAAGUGUGGGUAUCAAACAGGAUUAGAUACCCGAGUAGUC